rnacentral:rRNA from 1 species
CUACGGGGGGCUGCAGUGAGGAAUAUUGCACAAUGGGGGGAACCCUGAUGCAGCAACGCCGCGUGGAGGAUGACGCAUUUCGGUGUGUAAACUCCUUUUAUAUGUCAAGAAAAUGACGGUAGCAUAUGAAUAAGCACCGGCUAACUCCGUGCCAGCAGCCGCGGUAAUACGGGGGGUGCAAGCGUUACUCGGAAUCACUGGGCGUAAAGGACGCGUAGGCGGGUUGGAAAGUCAGGUGUGAAAUCCUACAGCUUAACUGUAGAACUGCACUUGAAACUUCUAUCUAGAGUAUGGGAGGGGGAGAUGGAAUUAGUGGUGUAGGGGUAAAAUCCGUAGAUAUCACUAGGAAUACCUAAAGCGAAGGCGAUCUCCUGGAACAUUACUGACGCUAAGGCGUGAAAGCGUGGGGAGCAAACAGGAUUAGAUACCCGAGUAGUC